ACUAUUGUCACGGGUUACCGCGGCUGCUGGCACGGAGUUAGCCGGUGCUUCUUCUGUGAGUGAUGUCCUUCCUGCCGGUUAUUGACCCGCAGGCCUUCUUCCUCACUGAAAGUGCUUUACAACCCGAAGGCCUUCUUCACACACGCGGCAUGGCUGGAUCAGGGUUGCCCCCAUUGUCCAAUAUUCCCCACUGCUGCCUCCCGUAGGAGUCUGGGCCGUGUCUCAGUCCCAGUGUGGCUGAUCAUCCUCUCAGACCAGCUACGGAUCGUCGCCUUGGUGAGCCGUUACCUCACCAACCAGCUAAUCCGACAUAGGCUCAUCCGAUAGCGCGAGGCCCGAAGGUCCCCCGNUUUCCCCCGUAGGGCGUAUGCGGUAUUAGCCU
rnacentral:rRNA from 1 species